rnacentral:rRNA from 1 species
GCCGGCGAAACCGCGGUGGAGGAGGUUGUGCGCGAUGCUGUCCCUCUCCUGCUUGGCGGUCUCAGAGCGAACAGGGGUCUCCGGCGUGGUGUCGUCGUCGAAGAGCGCAAACGGGACCUCCGGCUCGAGCUCCUCGCGGCGCAUCUCGCAGAUGUUGUGCAGGACGCAGCAGGCGCCCAGCACCACGGGGAGGUCCUGGAGCUUCACCUCCGUGCGCUUCUGGAGGCACGCCCACCGCGUCUUGAGCCGCGCGAACGCCUCCACGGCCACGUUGCGGAUGUCGCCGACCUUCUCGUUGAAGGCGUG